CGGCGGACGGGUGAGUAAUGCCUAGGAAUCUGCCUGGUAGUGGGGGACAACGUUUCGAAAGGAACGCUAAUACCGCAUACGUCCUACGGGAGAAAGCAGGGGACCUUCGGGCCUUGCGCUAUCAGAUGAGCCUAGGUCGGAUUAGCUAGUUGGCGAGGUAAUGGCUCACCAAGGCGACGAUCCGUAACUGGUCUGAGAGGAUGAUCAGUCACACUGGAACUGAUACACGGUCCAGACUCCUACGGGAGGCAGCAGGC
rnacentral:rRNA from 1 species